CGUAGGGUGCGAGCGUUAAUCGGAAUUACUGGGCGUAAAGCGUGCGCAGGCGGUUUGGUAAGACAGGCGUGAAAUCCCCGGGCUUAACCUGGGAACUGCGUUUGUGACUGCCAGGCUAGAGUACGGCAGAGGGGGGUGGAAUUCCACGUGUAGCAGUGAAAUGCGUAGAGAUGUGGAGGAACACCAAUGGCGAAGGCAGCCCCCUGGGUCGAUACUGACGCUCAUGCACGAAAGCGUGGGUAGCAAACAGGAUUAGAUACCCUGGUAGUCCACGCCCUAAACGAUGUCAACUAGGUGUUGGGUGGGUAAAACCAUUUAGUACCGUAGCUAACGCGAGAAGUUGACCGCCUGGGGAGUACGGCCGCAAGGUUA
rnacentral:rRNA from 1 species